ensembl:lncRNA
GAACUAAGAGUAUAAACACAGGGAACCGAGGACACCAGAAGGAACCAAGAGUCUAAAAAUAAGAAAGUUAAACACACUGCUGUACAAAACGCCUUUUCACGGACACACGGCAAGCUAUAGAACAAAAACAGCUAAUAAACAUGAAGGGGCGUGGCCAAAGCUGAUGUGACGCAGGAAUUGAAAUAAACCAGGAAGUUGGGAUUUGUGUUGAGUCGUGUGUAUGCUAGAACAGGGUUAGAACUCACAGAACCUGUUCUACAAUACCAAUAAAAAAGUUAGCUGUUACGUGGUGCAAUAUAGCAUGUAGCACGUUUACAUACAACAGAUCACAUUAACAGUGAUAGUAAUAGCAAAUUUUGGUUAAUGCUAGUGAGCUAGCUAAUGAUGGCUAUGUUAGCUAAUAUCAUAUUAGUGAGGUGGAUAACAUAACUGUGGCUAACAAAAAAUGUUACAGAAGGUCAGAAUAAACUGUAACAGAAAAGACUUGUUCUUCUUCCCAGCGCUGGCGUUUGAACCCGAGCCGGGAGGAAAAUCGCACUGCGUUUAUGAGACGACAGCAGAUGUGGGGUUGCGGCAGUCGUGGCGAGACAGAAAGGGGAGAAGCAGACGGCAUUACGGAAGCAGAUGAGCUUGUCUGAGAGAACAGAAGAAGUCAUGAUACACAAUAAUACACAAAGCACAGAAACACUUCUCACACUCGUGUUAAAUUAAUCCCAUCCAGAUCUCGUCUUGUAUCGUACGCGUACUGUACAUAAUGCAACUUGUGGUAGAAAAAACAUGAUA